CACAAAAGCUUGGUCCUGGCUUUACUGUCAGCUCUAGCUGGACUUACACAUGCGAGUAUCCGCAACCCGGUGAGAAUGCCCUUAGACUCCUCAACUGGAACUAAGGGGCGGGCAUCAGGCACCUUCUUAGAGCCCACGACGCCUUGCUUAGCCACACCCCCAAGGGAAUUCAGCAGUGAUGAAUAUUAAGCUAUGAGUGAAAACUUGACUUAAUCACAGCUUAGAGGGCUGGUUAAUUUCGUGCCAGCCACCGCGGUUAGACGGGAGGCCCAAGUUGACAGCUCACGGCGUAAAGGGUGGUUAAGACUAUUUAUUAAACUAAAGCCGAAAUACCACAAAACUGUUAUACGUUCACGAGGUUAUGAAGCCCAACUACGAAAGUGGCUUUACGAUUCUGACCCCACGAAAGCUAGGACACAAACUGGGAUUAGAUACCCCACUAUGCCUAGCCCUAAACUAUGGUAGUACUAUUACAAAUGCUACUCGCCCGGGUACUACGAGCGUGUGCUUGAAACCCAAAGGACUUGGCGGUGCUUUAGAUCCCCCUAGAGGAGCCUGUUCUAGAACCGAUAAUCCCCGUUAAACCUCACCUUUUCUUGUCAGGCCCGCCUAUAUACCGCCGUCGUCAGCUUACCCCGUAGGGUCCUACAGUAAGCACAAUUGGCACUGCCCAAAACGCCAGGUCGAGGUGUAGCGAAUGAAAAGGGAAGAAAUGGGCUACAUUCAUUAAUACAAUGAAUACGGACAAUGACCUGAAAUGGUUAUUUUAAGGAGGAUUUAGUAGUAAGUGGGAAAUAGAGUGUCCCGCUGAAACCGGCCCUGAAGCGCGUACACACCGCCCGUCACUCUCCCCAAGCCCGCUUUUAUUAAUUUUUAAUACCCCAAUGGCAUUAAGGGGAGGCAAGUCGUAACAUGGUAAGUGUACCGGAAGGUGUACUUG
rnacentral:ncRNA from 1 species